AAUAUUUGAAAAUGGGCGAAAGACUGAGCCAGCAAGGCGGCGUGUGUGAAGAAGGUCCACGAAAANGAGAGCACUUUAAGUUGGGGNGAGGGGAUGUAGAUUAAUACUCUGCAAUUUUGACGUUACGGACAGAAUAAGCACCGGCCAACUUCUUGCCAGCAGCUGCGGUAAUACGAAGGGUGCAAGCGUUAAUCGGAAUUACUGGGAGUAAAGCGCGCGUAGGUGGUUCGUUAAGUUGGAUGUGAAAGCGCCGGGCUCAACCUGGGAACUGCAUCCAAAACUGGCUAGCGGGAGUACGGUGGAGAAUGGUGGAAUUUCCUGUGUAGCGGUGAAAUGCGUAGGUAUAGGAAGGAACACCAGUGGCGAAGGCGACCACCUGGACUGGUACUGACACUGAGGUGCGAAAGCGUGGGGAGCAAACA
rnacentral:rRNA from 1 species